CCUACGGGUGGCAGCAGUAGGGAAUAUUGCGCAAUGGGGGAAACCCUGACGCAGCAACGCCGCGUGAUUGAUGAAGUAUUUCGGAUUGUAAACUUCUUUUAGUAGGGAAGAAAAUGACUGUAUCUGACAAAUAAACCCCGGCUAACUCCGUGCCAGCAGCCGCGGUAAUACGGAGGGGGCAAGCGUUACUCGGAAUCACUGGGCGGAAAGGGGGCGUAGGGGGGAGCGUAAGUCAGGUGUGAAAUGCUAGGGCUUAACCACAGAAGUGCAUUGGAAACUGUCAAGCUAGAGUGCGGGAGAGGUAAGUGGAAUUCCUGGUGUAGCGGUGAAAUGCGUAGAUAUCAGGAGGAACA
rnacentral:rRNA from 1 species